AUACGGAGGAUGCAAGCGUUAUCCGGAUUUAUUGGGUUUAAAGGGUGCGUAGGCGGUUUGCUAAGCGGGAGGUGAAAUGCCGGCGCUCAACGUCGGAAGUGCCUCCCGAACUGGUGGACUUGAAUGACUCUGCCGUGGGAGGAAUGUGUAGUGUAGCGGUGAAAUGCUUAGAGAUUACACAGAACACCGAUUGCGAAGGCAUCUCACGAAGGGUUGAUUGACGCUGAGGCACGAAAGCGUGGGGAUCAAACAGGAUUAGAUACCCUGGUAGUCCACGCAGUAACCGAUGAUGGCUAACCGCUGGGCUUAUCAGUUCAGUGGCCAAGCGAAAGCGAUAAGCCAUCCACCUGGGGAGUACGACCGCAAGGUUGAAACUCAAAUGAAUUGACGGGG
rnacentral:rRNA from 1 species